CCGGAAGUACGAUUAUCUACUCGUUAUGAUGUUCAUUUUGUGGGGCCCAGGCCCAGCAGCAAUAUUUUAAAUUGUAAAUUGCAACUCUAAGGAUCCAUUGGAAGCAUAGCAGGUUGAAGCCCAGCAGUCGACGAUUCAGAACACGAGCGGGGAUUUGACCUGAGCCAAGUUCCAUAUAAUGGGGGAUAUCAGAAACAGGCCGCGAAGUUGGCGUCCCAAGAAGACGACUAUUUCAUCACCCUGUCAGCACUUAGGUGCCGUAGGCUGUCUUCUACAGAUUUGCAGUCAAGGUUUGCAGGACGAUAUGGCCGACGGCUGUCUGCCCAGACAAUCCGGAAUACACUACACACAGCCAAUACCCGGUCUCAUAGGGCUUUAGGAAGUCCUGCCAUGACUGCCCUUCCCCGUCAGGCCCGUUUGCGCUGGUGUCUGCACCACGUGCACUGGAACCUGAACAUGUGGAGGAACGUUAUGUUCAGUGAUGAGUCUAGAUUCUGCCUACGGCAGUUGGAUCGUAGGGCAAAGUGUGGAGAAGACGUGGAAAACGCUAUGCUGAUGGCUGCACCGAUAGAAUAACAUAUUUUGGUGGAGGCAGUGUGAUGGUGUGGGGCGGCAUCUCCCUCACUGGAAAAUCUCUGCAUUGAGAUUGGAGGCAAUCUCAAUGCAGAGAGAUAUAGAGAUGAGAUUCUGCAACCAGUGGCAAUCCCAUAUCUCCACAGUCUGGGACCGAACUCUAUCUUCUAAGAUGACAACACUCGCCCACACAGGGCGGGGUUUAUCAGAGACUACCUCCAGAAUGUGGGAGUGGAGAGGAUGGAAUGGCCUGCUAGCAGUCCUGAACUCAACCACAUUGAAAACUUGUGGGAUCAGCUUAGGCGUGCUGUUCGUGCCAGAGUGACCAACACAACCACGUUGGCUGACUUGUGACAAAUACUGGUUGAAGAAUGGGAUGUCAUCUCACAGCAGUGUAUGACCAAAUACUGGUUGAAGAAUGGGAUGCCAUCUCACAGCAGUGUAUGACCAGGCUGGUGACCAACAUGAGGAGGAGGUGCCAGGCUGUUGUGGCUGUGUAUGGUUCUUCCACACACUACUGAGGCUCCUGUUUGUGAAAUGAAUAAAUUGUUAAAUUGGCAAUAUGUCUUGUUUCCUCAAACUUCAAUCAUCCAAUCCACCAAACCAAACGAGUCAAUGGCAGAAUGACCUGUUUGGCAAUGGCAGAAAAGAUUUGGCAAAUUUUUCAUGGGCGCAACCCACAUACUCAGCGCUGCUGCUCAUCCCACAAAUGCAUGUUCCUUACAAAUGGGGCACCAUUUGAAAGGGAACUAAACAGGCUUUCUAACGGUAUAAGAUUUAUUGCCAAAAAGCAGUGUUACCACAGAGAAA